rnacentral:rRNA from 1 species
AUGAGGGCGUACCGGCGGGAGAAGCAGAGGCCAUGGCGACGGUUCGGCGCGGCGGCGAGGUCGACAAACAGUAGGGGAGCGGCGCAGGUGGGCAGAUCGGGCCGGAUCCGGCCGCAGGAGGGGCCAUGGCUGCCGGAUCUGGCCCGAGGCGGCAGCGAGGCAAGGUGGCGGCAUGAGCUCCGAGCUUGGGCGGCGUCCAUGACGCCUAUCCAUGACUGCAAUAGAGAGAGGGUUAGAGUGGAAAGGGAGAGAGAUGGAGGAGAAAGGAGAGGAGGCGGCGAGGUCGGCCUGUUCCGGUUGCGGUCUCUGGCAGCUCAUCGGUCGACAGGAGAUCUCGCGCGAGGGUGA